rnacentral:RNase_P_RNA from 1 species
CGGAAAAGCCGGGCAAUCACUUCGAAUUUUUAAUUCGGGGAGGAAAGUCCGGACACCAACAAGCACCACGCUCAGCGAUCCUUAGGGCGUAGCUGAGGCGCUUAUUUGGCGACGAAUAAGCGACAGAGAGUGCAACAGAAAAGAAACAGCCCCAGCGCAGAGCGCUGGAAAAUUCCAAAUUCCAAAAAAUCAAUUAACAAACAAUGUUUAAACUAUUUAAGGUUUAAAAAUUGAAGUUUGUUUGAAUUUUGGAAUUUAAAAAUUGGAAUUUCCAACGCUCUGCGUUGGUGGUGAUGGUGAAAAGGUGAGGUAAGAGCUCACCGUGUGUUACCGUGAGGUACACAGCUAGGUAAACCUCGUGGGGUGCAAGUUCACGUAGGGCAGUAUUCGCCGCUUGUCGAGACGCUGUCGGGUAGAAUGCACCAGAUAAAUGAUUGCCGAAUCCGCCAUCUGGCGGAGGAACAGAAUCCGGCUUACAGGCUUUUCCGCAGA